rnacentral:rRNA from 1 species
GGGUGAGUAAUGUCUGGGAAACUGCCUGAUGGAGGGGGAUAACUACUGGAAACGGUAGCUAAUACCGCAUAAUGUCGCAAGACCAAAGAGGGGGACCUUCGGGCCUCUUGCCAUCGGAUGUGCCCAGAUGGGAUUAGCUAGUAGGUGGGGUAACGGCUCACCUAGGCGACGAUCCCUAGCUGGUCUGAGAGGAUGACCAG